GUGGGGAAUCUUGCGCAAUGGGCGAAAGCCUGACGCAGCCAUGCCGCGUGAAUGAUGAAGGUCUUAGGAUUGUAAAAUUCUUUCACCGGGGACGAUAAUGACGGUACCCGGAGAAGAAGCCCCGGCUAACUUCGUGCCAGCAGCCGCGGUAAUACGAAGGGGGCUAGCGUUGCUCGGAAUUACUGGGCGUAAAGGGCGCGUAGGCGGACAGUUUAGUCAGAGGUGAAAGCCCAGGGCUCAACCUUGGAAUUGCCUUUGAUACUGGCUGUCUUGAGUACGGGAGAGGUGAGUGGAACUCCGAGUGUAGAGGUGGAAUUCGUAGAUAUUAGGAAGAACACCAGUGGCGAAGGCGGCUCACUGGUCCGGUACUGACGCUGAGGUGCGAAAGCGUGGGGAGCAAACAGGAUUAGAUACCCGAGUAGUCC
rnacentral:rRNA from 1 species